rnacentral:lncRNA from 1 species
AUAUAUAUAUAUAUAUAUAUAUAUAUAUAUUUAUAUAUAUAUAUAUACAUUAUACUUCUAGAAUCUCAGAUUUAUAGUGACGAGCAGCUCUUCUCAAGUACCACAUAUCACCAGUCAUUCAUGUAUGUCACAUUCACAUACCAAUGCAUUCUUCUCUCUUGUACACUACACUUGAUUCCUCUUAUGCCCAUUUUUUUCUCUUAACAUAUUUGUACUUCAUUAUUCAUGCACACUGGUGUUGCACAUCCGAUGGAGUAUGCUAGCUUCGUUUUUUUAAAACUGUUUUUUUCUAGACUCUUCAAGUCUAGAAGGCUUCAAAGCAUUGAAGUUCAUACUCAGACAUCAUACAAUCUGUCUUUCACUCUGUAAGAGAAACCUUUUUGUUACCAUCAGAGGUAAUAGCUCUCUGAAUUUUCUUUAAUCUACUCUUACUAUCACUACUAUACUUUUAGAAUAUCUUGCUCCACUAAAUCAAAUUCAAAUACAGAAUUCAAUAAGAAAUAGUUUAGAUGUGUUUUAGUUUUAAUUUCUCAAAAACCAAAACUUAAAAUAUGUUGAUUUUGUUACUCUUCAAAAAUUAAAUUAUUAAAAAAACAAAUUAUUAAUUGCAUUAGCAUUUCAGUGACAUUUCAGAAGAGAUGAUAGUUUAGAUCAGUGGUUCUCAAGCAGAAUCUAUGUAAGAUUUCGUUGUUAAAAUAUGUGUAAUACACAUAAUAUUUAAACAAUUUUUUAUACAAUUCUAAUAAUAUUUAAUAAUAAAAAUAUAAUAGAAGUUUUUACACAUAUGGCUGUGGGGUCCCUCUGACCAAGUAAUAUAGAAAUGAAAAGGACCCAUGGGUAUAAAAUGGUUGAGAACCACUGGUUGUCUAGAUGAACAGAAUGUGAUUAUGUACGUUAUGCAACACUAUUAUGUUAAUAAUAUUGUUUCAUAGUGUCUGUUCUUAUGUAUUUCUUAUUAUGUUAAAUGAUGAUGAAGAUGAUGAUAUUCUUAUGUAUUAUACUAUAAGUAUUGUUAUAGUAUAAUACAUAAAAACAUAAUACACACACACACACGUGUGUGUGUGUAUGUAUAUGUGUAUGUGUGUGUAUGUAAGUAUGCAUAUGAAUAUAUAUAAGUAUAUGUGUGUAUUUAUGUAUGCACACACACACACACAUGAAAUUCAUGGAAUGACUAGGGAACAGGAAUUAUAUAAUCAACUUCAAUAGCUGUUUCUGCUACAUUAUAUCAUUCCUGUUCUCUUGCCUUUCCAUUAAUUUCAUAUUAUAUUCUGUACUUUUCUAACACUUUAUUCUGAAGCAUAUGCAUGUUGAAUUCUAACAACAGGUUAUUAGUAUCACUGUCAUCAUCAUUUAACAUCUGGUUUCCAUGCUGGCAUGGGUUGGACCACUAUAUGUAAGUGAAAUCAUAAUAUAUGUUCUUUGUCUUUCAUUUUUUUUAUAAAUGCUCAGUGGAGUAAGUAAAGUAACUACAGCCAAAAAAUGAUCCUGGGUCACAAAUUUGGUUUUGUUAGAACUAAACCACCUCUGCAAUGGCACCCACUUUUUCUGAUUCUGAAAUCAUAUCAAUAAAGACUCCAAUAUAAUUGCAGUGACUGAGUGUUACAUUGAUUGACCUAACCAUUUAAGAUUUUGGUUCAAACAACAGUUUUGUUACUUUGUUUCAUUUUGCACAGUUCAAUAAUCACUGUCCCCCUUCCCCUCCUUGUUGAAAUUUUGACAUUAGAAAUGGAGUUAAACCAGCCAUAUCAGGCCAAAAUAUUCAACUUGUUUCAUGUUCAAGUUGUCCAGAUCUAGCCUAUCACACCAGCACUGCAAUAUCAUUCUAAAAAUUAAUAGUUACCUCAUCAAAAUCUCAAAGCUACAAGAUAAAGCAUGAUUAAUUCAAAGCUAAGUGAAUAGAUUUGGUUUACUUUCAACAGAAUAAUGUGAAUAUUAAAGGGUUAAAAAGACAAAAAAAAACUGCCCAGUAUUUCCAAAAAUCAAAUGAAAAAACAAUUGCAAAAGAAAUGUUUUAAAAUGUCAUUUGUUAUUGAUGACUGAGUUUCUCAUUUGAACAUUUCAGGUGAAUUUCAUUGAGUAAUGUUUCCCUUCACUAAUUUCCUGUUGAGAAUACAUGAUUAUAAAAGACAAACUUUUAGACUAAACUUGCACAACAUACAACUACACAACAGCUUAUGAUGUAAAUUUAGCUGUAACAUUCACUUCAAAAAGGGUAGUAAAAAAAAGGCCCAUGACAGUUGAGUACCAGAUAAAAUGCCUUAAACUUUUUAGUUUUGUUUCUUUUGGUUCCAAAUUCAUAUCUCACGGGGAUUGAGUUUGUUUUUCAUCCAUCCAGAGUUACUAAACUAACCAACAGCAAUAUAAUGGGAGCUAUUCAAUUGAUUAUGUUGCCUUCCUUUCUCAGAUUGAUGUCAUGCCUGUCCGACAAAUUAGUGAUUAUUUACAAUAAAUAGAUAAACGUCAUGGGUUACAUGUCAAAAAUAUUAAAGUAAGAAGGAAGGUAUUAUAUAUGUGUGUGUGAAUGCAGAAUCAAGACUCAAAAUUGAAAGCUUCCCAUCUAUCCCAUUUUUAUUAUUCUUCAUUAGAAUUUUCAAUAAUUAAAAAUAUAUAUAAUAUUAAUUUUUUUAAAAUCAUCUGUAACCUGCCAUACUUUUUCUUAAAGCAGUAUAACCUCUCUUAUGCAAGUCAGUUUUAGAUAUUUGGUAAUGAGCAAAUAAUGCAUCCAUUGGCCUGCAUUGAGAGUAAAACACUUCAUGGUUUUUACUAAGUAAAUUAAUUAAACCUUUCACUGAUGAGAAUCUGGGUAGAUUAACAAUUGUAAUAAUUUGCUUUGUGAUUAGAUGCUCUCGGUAACUUGUGUUUUGAUCCCAAAUAGUCAUCAGAGAAAGGAUGAGUCUAUUAGUUAAUAAGCAAUAGUUUUCUAUAGACUAGUAUGAUGGUGAUUUGUUUUGUGAAGGAAACAGACAAUGUAUUUAUUUUGGGUUCCACCAUAUAUUGUGAUAGGUUGUUCAUUGGAAGAAGACUGUGUGACAUUUAUGCUAGUUUGUCUGUUGGUUAAAUAAUAGUUCUUAGAUAAUAUAUUAUAGUGUAAACAACUAAAAAAAAAACAUGCAAUGAUGUUAAAAAAAGACAAGUUCUCUUCUAUAGAAAGUACUUUUUUUUUUACAUAAAACAUUAAAUGUUUGUAGUUAGAGUCUAGAUAUGUGAAAUGGCUUAAAGAACUUGUUAAAUAUAAUGUAGAUAUGCAUUAACAUCUCCAUUUGGGUUCAAAAUCAAUGUGGAAACAUAUACUGACAUAAUUCAACAAAAAAGAGCUUUAACAUUUAAAUCAGUCAUAUCUGGCCUAAAUGUCCUACUUGUUUUAUGUUCAAACCAGCCAGAUCAAGCUUCUCACACCUACCCAGUAAUGUCAUUUUUAAAAUAAACAAUCAUAUCAUCAAAAUCUCAAACCUACAAGAAUGCAUGAUUAUUUCAAAUGUGAAUAAAUAAGCAUUACGUUUGACUAAGUAAUCUGAAUUCUGAAAGGUUAAUUGAGAAUUUCACCUAUACACUCUAUUCAGAAAUAUUUAACUGAGGAAAUUUACAAAUAUUAUGUUGUAUAUGAACUAUACAUUUUUUUUAAUAAUUAAAUAAUGUUUUGAUACCAUAAAACUGCACUUCACCCUUAACUUCCCUCUGUUUUUUCUUUCUUUGGUGAAUAUUUUAAGUUCAUUGCUCAAUUUUAGAAAAACUUAACUUUUCACCAACAGCUAUUACAUCAAAAUAUUACAUUAAAUUUUAUAAAUAUGGAAGUAUAUAUAUAUAUGAAUAUGAAAGUAUAUAUAUAUAUUUUUUAAAUAUUUGUUUAUUUCAUUCAAUCGUUUGAUUAUUAGAAGAUUAUUGUGAGAUAAUUAGGGCAGUAGAUUAGCAAAAGUGAUUAAGACAUUAGUCUUUACUCUCUUUACAGCCUCAGUUAAAAUUCUGCUUUUAGCCUGCUAGGUUUAACAACAUAAACACUAGAAACAUGCUGACUAUAUCCUCCAUAUAUACACAAACUGACUCUCUGACUAGCCAACAGAAAUUAAAAUUAGUAUCAAUAAUAUCAAAAUAAAUAAUCACUGAGAAACAAAUAUUGUCUUUUAAAUUCUUUUUAAAGAUAACUUUGGAUUCUACUAUUGGAGUAGCUUGAAACAUAUAAGCUAAAGUUAUGGAUUUCUUUUAUAUUAUAAACUCUAGAUAAUGAAUAAAUAUAAUUUUAUUAUUAUUAAUAUUCUCAUUUAAAGUACUAAUGUGAUAAUUUCAUAAUUAGCAUCUAAAUGCUAAUAAAAGAUGAACGUCUUUUUUUUUUAUUGGUGAAACAAAAAAAUUGAAGUGUGUCCACUGGUUUCAUCUCUCACUUUACUGCAAUCCACAG